GAGGGAGGGAGGGAAAGAUAUAGCCAUCGAUAGAGGAAAUCUGAGCUCACUGGACAGGAAUCAAUGGAUGCUGCGUGUCCCAGGCCUGAGCCCACGAUUGCAGAGAAACAAUGCUGCUUUCUCUGGCAGGCCAGACAAUCGUUUUGAGGCCACCAGGCUGCAAUGCCCACAGCCAAAGAACCAGGCCCCUGACACCCUGGGACCCCCAGAACACCCUAGGGCUGUGGUCUGCACUGAGGUCACAAGUCCCGAGGACCCUUCCAGAGAGUGGCUAGCUGGAUAGAGAGCCUGUUCCCCCUGGUCUCUGCCUCUGUCCGGGUUUUCAGCACCAACUCGCAAACAGCCAUUAUCCUUUGGGGAAUGGGCUCUGUACUAAGGAAUACUCCAUCCAGCUGCUCUGUAAGAGGAUGGGAGGGAGCCACAAUACUGUGACACCCCAGCACACUGAUGAUGCUGUCCUCUAGUCCAGUGGUUCCCAACCUUUUUUCGGGUAACUGAAUUUUGAUCUGAAUCUACCCCUGAAGUACCCCCUCAUGUGCAUUUUACCAGUCGGCCUACUAUCUCAUGAGUCUUCUCAAGUACCCCCCCUGUUGAUAGGCCAAAUAUUCCCAGGAGUCCUAGUACCCCUGGUUGGGAACCACUGCUCUAGUCUGUGGGCUGUUGUGCUGCUGCCUGCUGGGGGCGGAAUACAUCCCAGGGGGCGUGGCCAUGGUGGCAGGUUAGGAUCCUUGAUUCCGUACACCUGUGCUCAGACACACUCUCCUUUCAUCUCCGAAAUAAAGAAAAGAAAACUGAAGCGCUUCGUAGGUUUUUCUGGUACUAAAUACUUCCUGUUUCAUUUGGAUGCUGAUAACAAUUUAGGGAAGAAGAAGAAGAAGAAAGAGAAAAAAAAACAUAAUAAGGAUGACUAGCAUGACGACUCCACGGUUUGUUCUGGUUUUAUCUUUACAUUCCAGAAUGAAAGAAGGCACCGUUUUUUUUAUGCUGACUCAUUCUUUUUUUUUUAUGUGUCUAAGAAGUGUAUAGUGGAUUUAGGAUUUUGAAUGCAUGGAACUUUAUAUCCAAGACCUUACACUGUUCACCAUUUCAAUCACAGAGGCCAUAAGACACUGGUUAAUAAUAAAACUCAUUUUAAAAAAACUCCAAAAGAAGACAAGGUGGACAUAACACUGAAUCUGGCUACAGAAUGGGAGAAUCACCAUUCGGGAGGUUUUGGUUGCACCAUGAGAGCCGAAUGUGGCUAGUUUUUUUUUUUUUUUUGCCAUUGCCGAGCCAUUAAUUAGAAAAUAAAAAACAUCCCCGGAACGUUUGGGUUAACC